GAUGAACGCUGACAGAAUGCUUAACACAUGCAAGUCGACUGGAACUUCGGUUUGGGUGGCGGUCGGGUGAGUAACGCGUAAAGAACUUGCAUCACAGCUAGGGACAACAUUUGGAAACGAAUGCUAAUACCUGAUAUUAUGAUUAUAUGGCAUCGUAUAAUUAUGACAGCUAUAUGCGCUGUGAGAGAGCUUUGCGUCCCCUUAGCAAGGUGGAAAGGUAGCAGCACACCAAGGCGAUGAUGGGUAGCCGGCCUGGGAGUGUGAUCGGCCACAAGGGGACGCGGGCACGGCCCGUACGCCAUCGUGCGGCAUGGGCGGAGAAUAUUGGACAAAGGACCGCGAGUCUGAUCCAGCAAUUCUGUGUGCACGAUGAAGUUUUUCGGAAUGUAAAGUUCUUUCAGUUGCGAAGAAAAAAAUGACGGUACCAACAGAAGAAGCGACGGCUAAAUACGUG
rnacentral:rRNA from 1 species